UGGUACCAGCUGUGGAGACUGAAGUCCUUUGUUUAUUCACAGCACAGGUAGGGCAGAGAAAGCAGCAAAGCAAUAGGCCUCAUACAGCUCCUGAAGUGUGCCUCAGCCCUGCCCUGGAGGCAACACCUCGAAGGGUGAGAGUGUAAUUCAGUCUCCAUCCCUCUCCCGUCCCUAGCACCU
ensembl:misc_RNA